rnacentral:rRNA from 1 species
AGACCCGAAACCCGGUGAUCUAGCCAUGGGCAGGUUGAAGGUUGGGUAACACUAACUGGAGGACCGAACCGACUAAUGUUGAAAAAUUAGCGGAUGACCUGUGGCUGGGGGUGAAAGGCCAAUCAAACCGGGAGAUAGCUGGUUCUCCCCGAAAGCUAUUUAGGUAGCGCCUCGUGAAUUCAUCUCCGGGGGUAGAGCACUGUUUCGGCUAGGGGGCCAUCCCGGCUUACCAACCCGAUGCAAACUGCGAAUACCGGAGAAUGUUAUCACGGGAGACACACGGCGGGUGCUAACGUCCGUCGUGAAGAGGGAAACAACCCAGACCGCCAGCUAAGGUCCCAAAGUCAUGGUUAAGUGGGAAACGAUGUGGGAAGGCCCAGACAGCCAGGAUGUUGGCUUAGAAGCAGCCAUCAUUUAAAGAAAGCGUAAUAGCUCACUGGUCGAGUCGGCCUGCGCGGAAGAUGUAACGGGGCUAAACCAUGCACCGAAGCUGCGGCAGCGACGCUUAUGCGUUGUUGGGUAGGGGAGCGUUCUGUAAGCCUGUGAAGGUGGCCUGUGAGGGUUGCUGGAGGUAUCAGAAGUGCGAAUGCUGACAUAAGUAACGAUAAAGCGGGUGAAAAGCCCGCUCGCCGGAAGACCAAGGGUUCCUGUCCAACGUUAAUCGGGGCAGGGUGAGUCGACCCCUAAGGCGAGGCCGAAAGGCGUAGUCGAUGGGAAACAGGUUAAUAUUCCUGUACUUGGUGUUACUGCGAAGGGGGGACGGAGAAGGCUAUGUUGGCCGGGCGACGGUUGUCCCGGUUUAAGCGUGUAGGUGUGUGUUCCAGGUAAAUCCGGUUCACUUUAACACUGAGGCGUGAUGACGAGGCACUACGGUGCUGAAGCAACAAAUGCCCUGCUUCCAGGAAAAGCCUCUAAGCAUCAGGUAACAUCAAAUCGUACCCCAAACCGACACAGGUGGUCAGGUAGAGAAUACCAAGGCGCUUGAGAGAACUCGGGUGAAGGAACUAGGCAAAAUGGUGCCGUAACUUCGGGAGAAGGCACGCUGACACGUAGGUGAAGUGAUUUACUCACGGAGCUGAAGUCAGUCGAAGAUACCAGCUGGCUGCAACUGUUUAUUAAAAACACAGCACUGUGCAAACACGAAAGUGGACGUAUACGGUGUGACGCCUGCCCGGUGCCGGAAGGUUAAUUGAUGGGGUCAGCGCAAGCGAAGCUCCUGAUCGAAGCCCCGGUAAACGGCGGCCGUAACUAUAACGGUCCUAAGGUAGCGAAAUUCCUUGUCGGGUAAGUUCCGACCUGCACGAAUGGCGUAAUGAUGGCCAGGCUGUCUCCACCCGAGACUCAGUGAAAUUGAACUCGCUGUGAAGAUGCAGUGUACCCGCGGCAAGACGGAAAGACCCCGUGAACCUUUACUAUAGCUUGACACUGAACAUUGAGCCUUGAUGUGUAG